CGCUCCGUAGUGUAGUGGUUAGCACAUCUGCUUUAUAUGCAGAAGGUCCUGGGUUCGUACCCCAGGUGGAGCCA
rnacentral:tRNA from 1 species